AUUGAACGCUGGCGGCAGGCCUAACACAUGCAAGUCGAGCGGAUGAAGGGAGCUUGCUCCUGGAUUCAGCGGCGGACGGGUGAGUAAUGCCUAGGAAUCAGCCUGGUAGUGGGGGAUAACGUCCGGAAACGGGCGCUAAUACCGCAUACGUCCUGAGGGAGAAAGUGGGGGAUCUUCGGACCUCACGCUAUCAGAUGAGCCUAGGUCGGAUUAGCUAGUUGGUGGGGUAAAGGCCUACCAAGGCGACGAUCCGUAACUGGUCUGAGAGGAUGAUCAGUCACACUGGAACUGAGACACGGUCCAGACUCCUACGGGAGGCAGCAGUGGGGAAUAUUGGACAAUGGGCGAAAGCCUGAUCCGGCCAUGCCGCGUGUGUGAAGAAGGUCUUCGGAUUGUAAAGCACUUUAAGUUGGGAGGAAGGGCAGUAAGUUAAUACCUUGCUGUUUUGACGUUACCAACAGAAUAAGCGCCGGCUAACUUCGUG
rnacentral:rRNA from 1 species